CCUACGGGGAGCAGCAGUGGGGAAUAUUGGACAAUGGGCGAAAGCCUGAUCCAGCCAUGCCGCGUGUGUGAAGAAGGCCUUCGGGUUGUAAAGCACUUUCAGUGGGGAAGAAAGCCUUGGGGCUAAUACCCUCGAGGAAGGACAUCACCCACAGAAGAAGCACCGGCUAACUCCGUGCCAGCAGCCGCGGUAAUACGGAGGGGUGCGAGCGUUAAUCGGAAUUACUGGCGUAAAGCGCGCGUAGGCGGUCUGAUAAGCCGGUUGUGAAAGCCCCGGGCUCAACCUGGGGAACGGCAUCCGGAACUGUCAGGCUAGAGUGCAGGAGAGGAAGGUAGAAUUCCCGGUGUAGCGGUGAAAUGCGUAGAGAUCGGGAGGAAUACCAGUGGCGAAGGCGGCCUUCUGGACUGACACUGACGCUGAGGUGCGAAAGCGUGGGUAGCAAACAGGAUUAGAUACCCGGGUAGUC
rnacentral:rRNA from 1 species